rnacentral:lncRNA from 1 species
AGAAAAGAUGAUGUCCUGGGAAGGAGUAGGAUGUAGUCACAUUGUCUGCUCUUGAAUUCGUGGAACUGACAUGUGACUGUUCCUUUGCCAUCCCACAUCCUGCCAGCCUUCUGGUUCUUGAAAGAGCCUCUUUUGCAGAUCCUCCUAUUUACUUGUUUGUCUAUCGACCACGCUGAGAAAGGCUAUGCGGAGCUUGGUUGUUUCGGUUUUCUGCCUGUUUGCUGGGAAUUAUGGAGACUGCUAUCACAUUCCCAUUAGUAUCAUGAUUGGAAUUGUAGUUGGAGAUAUUCUUCUUACUGUGCUCCUUCUAAUUCCUGUCUAUUACUGCAUUCGUCCAAAGGAUACAGAACGGAAAGAUAUGGGUAAUAGGAAUUACAUAAACAUGACUGGAAGAAAUAAGUGACUCACAUUUCUCAUCUGAAUACCAUCCCAAGAAUUUCUACUGUAUCAGAGAUGAACAAAAGCAGAACUCCUACAACCCAGA